GACGAACGCUGGCGGCAUGCCUAACACAUGCAAGUCGAACGGAGAUUAUUUCGGUAAUCUUAGUGGCGAACGGGUGAGUAACGCGUGGGCAACCUGCCCUCUAGAUGGGGACAACAUCCCGAAAGGGGUGCUAAUACCGAAUGUGACAGCAAUCUCGCAUGAGGAUGCUGUGAAAGAUGGCCUCUAUUUAUAAGCUAUCGCUAGAGGAUGGGCCUGCGUCUGAUUAGCUAGUUGGUGGGGUAACGGCCUACCAAGGCGAUGAUCAGUAGCCGGUCUGAGAGGAUGCGCGGCCACGUUGGGACUGGAACACGGCCCAGCAUCCUACGAGUGGCAGCAGUGGGGAACUUUCCGGAAAAGGCGCAAGCCGGACGGAUCAAUACCGCGUGAGUGAUGGAGGAAUUGGUGCCGUGAAGAUCUUGUGUUUAUGACGAAUGUGAAGAUUUUGAACAAUGAUCUGUAAUGACGGUAGUAAACGAAUAAGCCACGGCUAACUACGUG
rnacentral:rRNA from 1 species